UGGGCGGAAAUUAGUAAGACUACUGUCCAUCAUGCGGCCGACAAGUUUCUCCCAUUUGUAAUCCUUGUCCUAAGAUUUUCUGAUUAGUCUCUCUUUUUAAGAGGAUCUAAAGUUUCUGAUUUUUGUGAUCUCUUAAUUCACUUUUAUUUUUAUUUUUUGGUACAAAAAGAGGGAAAAUUAGAAACAACGAGUCUUGAGCCCGAGUGGUCCGUAGGGGAAUCUUUUUAUUAUUAUUGUGAAUAUUUUCUCUUAUCUUCUUUUUCCUGUUUAUUUUUUGUAUUUUAUUUUUAUUAUUUUGGUUCCUCCCUCCCUCCCUCAUUGCCUCACGAACUGCGAAACAAAAAUUUGACCGAUCGGAAGAAGGAGAAAAAAAAUGGUGAAGGAGACACAGUAUUACGAUGUUCUUGGAGUGAGCCCAACGGCUACCGAGGCCGAUAUCAAGAAAGCUUAUUACAUGAAGGCAAUGCAGGUUCAUCCGGAUAAAAACCCAAAUGAUCCUCUUGCAGCACAGAAUUUUCAGGUGGACAGUCAUUAUCUUUGGUUCUAGGUCUGUAUUCAGAAGUAGAAUGUGUGUGAUUUGUGGAGGAAACCCGACCAUUAGCUGGUUCCUCUGCAGGUGCCAUUGUCUGUGCUGUGAUUGCCUCUGGAGCCAGCAUGGAAGAGGCCUUACAAGCUACCAAAAUACUGGCUGAAGAUUGCCGGAACAGAGGGACUGCAUUUCGACUUGGGCUAUAUGUCAGAAGCUCAUCCUGAUUAAUUGACCUAUGGGCCUAACCAGGGUUAUGGGGGUUGAUCCGUCCCACAGUAUAGGAUUGCAUCGUAGAUUGAACCAAAACUACAAUAUGGAAAGAACGUGCUGGUUGCUGCCCAUGGGAAUUCGUUAAGUAUAGAGUUAGACGGGACACGUACACCCAAAUGGAAUUGGAUGAGGUGCGAGAAGAACUGGCGACUCAUGUCCUAUAACGGCUUUUUGAUUCAACUAAACAUUCCUCCAUUUUUCAUGUCUUUCUAGCUAGUAUUUUGCAUAUAUAUAUAGACAAGUAUGAAUAAUUUGUGGUGUGACGUUGGAAAAAUUGUAAUUUGGGUGUGAUAAGUAUGGAUCUUUCAAGUAUUUUGCGCAUA